rnacentral:rRNA from 1 species
AUUAGAUAAAAAACCAAUGCCCUUCGGGGCUUUCUGGUGAUUCAUAAUAACUAAACGAACCGCAUGGCCUUGAGCCGGCGAUGGUUCAUUCAAAUUUCUGCCCUAUCAACUUUCGAUUGUAGGAUAGAGGCCUACAAUGGUUUCAACGGGUAACGGAGAAUUAGGGUUCGGUUCCGGAGAGGGAGCCUGAGAAACGGCUACCACAUCCAAGGAAGGCAGCAGGCGCGCAAAUUACCCAAUCCCGACACGGGGAGGUAGUGACAAUAAAUACUGAUACAGGGCUCUUUUGGGUCUUGUAAUUGGAAUGAGUACAAUUUAAAUCCCUUAACGAGGAACAAUUGGAGGGCAAGUCUGGUGCCAGCAGCCGCGGUAAUUCCAGCUCCAAUAGCGUAUAUUAAAGUUGUUGCAGUUAAAGAGCUCGUAGUUGAACCUUGGGUUUGGCUGGCCGGUCCGCCUCACCGCGUGCACUGGUCCGGCCGGACCUUUCCUCUUGGGGAUCCGCAUGCCCUUUACUGGG